GAUGAAGAACGCAGCGAAAUGCGAUACGUAAUGUGAAUUGCAGAAUUCAGUGAAUCAUCGAGUCUUUGAACGCACAUUGCGCCCCCUGGUAUUCCGGGGGGCAUGCCUGUCCGAGCGUCAUUGCUGCCCUCAAGCACGGCUUGUGUGUUGGGCCUCCGUCCUCCUCCCGGGGGACGGGCCCGAAAGGCAGCGGCGGCACCGCGUCCGGUCCUCGAGCGUAUGGGGCUUCGUCACCCGCUCUUGUAGGCCCGGCCGGCGCUUGCCGAAACAUCAAUCUUUUUUCCAGGUUGACCUCGGAUCAGGUAGGGAUACCCGCUGAACUUAAGCAUAUCAAUAAGCGGAGGA
rnacentral:misc_RNA from 1 species